GCAUCCAUGGCUAAAUGGUUAAAGCGCCCAACUCAUAAUUGGAGAGUUCGUAACUACUGGAUACA
rnacentral:tRNA from 2 species